rnacentral:rRNA from 14 species
CCUGGCGGCUGUAGCGCGGUGGUCCCACCUGACCCCAUGCCGAACUCAGAAGUGAAACGCCGUAGCGCCGAUGGUAGUGUGGGGCCUCCCCAUGCGAGAGUAGGGAACUGCCAGAC